rnacentral:rRNA from 1 species
CAAGCGAACAAGUGCAUGUGGUGGAUGCCUUGGCGAUCACAGGCGAUGAAGGACGCGGUAGCCUGCGAAAAGCGGAGGGGAGCUGGCAAACGAGCUUUGAUCCUCCGAUAUCCGAAUGGGGAAACCCGGCCCGUAUGGGUCAUCCGUAGCUGAAUCCAUAGGCUGCGUGAAGCGAACGCGGUGAACUGAAACAUCUAAGUAACCGCAGGAAAAGAAAUCAACCGAGAUUCCCAGAGUAGUGGCGAGCGAAAUGGGACCAGCCUGCAUUCUUUAUCCGUAGUGUUAGUCGAAAGUCUCUGGAAAGUGCUGCCAUAGCAGGUGAUAGCCCUGUAGACGAAAACAUCAUGGAAGAACUAGGUAUGCGAGAAGUAGGGCGGGACACGUGAAAUCCUGUCUGAAGAUGGGGGGACCAUCCUCCAAGGCUAAAUACUCGUGAUCGACCGAUAGUGAACCAGUACCGUGAGGGAAAGGCGAAAAGAACCCCGGGAGGGGAGUGAAACAGAUCCUGAAACCGCAUGCAUACAAACAGUCGGAGCCUUUGAAAGAGGUGACGGCGUACCUUUUGUAUAAUGGGUCAGCGACUUACAUUCAGUGGCAAGCUUAACCGAUUAGGGCAGGCGUAGCGAAAGCGAGUCCGAACAGGGCGAUUCAGUCGCUGGGUGUAGACCCGAAACCAGGUGAUCUAUCCAUGGCCAGGAUGAAGGUGCGGUAACACGUACUGGAGGUCCGAACCCACUAACGUUGAAAAGUUAGGGGAUGAGCUGUGGAUAGGGUGAAAGGCUAAACAAACCUGGAAAUAGCUGGUUCUCUCCGAAAACUAUUUAGGUAGUGCCUCGUGUAUCACCUUCGGGGGUAGAGCACUGUCAUGGUUGUGGGGUCCAUUGCGGAUUACUACGCCAUAGCAAACUCCGAAUACCGAAGAGUGCAAUCACGGGAGACAGACAUCGGGUGCUAACGUCCGGUGUCAAGAGGGAAACAACCCAGACCGCCAGCUAAGGUCCCCAAAUAUUGCUAAGUGGGAAACGAAGUGGGAAGGCUAAAACAGUCAGGAGGUUGGCUUAGAAGCAGCCAUCCUUUAAAGAAAGCGUAAUAGCUCACUGAUCGAGUCGUCCUGCGCGGAAGAUGUAACGGGGCUAAGCAAUAUACCGAAGCUGCGGAUGCAUAUUUAUAUGCAUGGUAGGAGAGCGUUCCGUAAGCCUGCGAAGGUGCAUUGAAAAGUGUGCUGGAGGUAUCGGAAGUGCGAAUGCUGACAUGAGUAGCGAUAAAGGGGGUGAAAGGCCCCCUCGCCGUAAGCCCAAGGUUUCCUACGCAACGUUCAUCGGCGUAGGGUGAGUCGGCCCCUAAGGCGAGGCAGAAAUGCGUAGCUGAUGGGAAGCAGGUUAAUAUUCCUGCACCAUUGUUAAAUGCGAUGGGGGGACGGAUCGCGGAAGGUUGUCCGGGUGUUGGAAGUCCCGGUCCUUGCAUUGGAGAAGGCGCUUUGGCAAAUCCGGGCGCAGGAUUCAAGGGUGCGAGGCCAUUCACUUCGGUGAAGAAGCAAUCGGAAGUGGUUCCAGGAAAAGCCUCUAAGCUUCAGUUUAACAAGACCGUACCGCAAACCGACACAGGUGGGCGAGAUGAGUAUUCUAAGGCGCUUGAGAGAACUCGGGAGAAGGAACUCGGCAAAUUGGUACCGUAACUUCGGGAUAAGGUACGCCCUGUAGCCUGACUGGCCUGCGCCAGAAGGGUGAAGGGGUUGCAAUAAACUGGUGGCUGCGACUGUUUAAUAAAAACACAGCACUCUGCAAACACGAAAGUGGACGUAUAGGGUGUGACGCCUGCCCGGUGCCGGAAGAUUAAAUGAUGGGGUGCAAGCUCCUGAUUGAAGUCCCGGUAAACGGCGGCCGUAACUAUAACGGUCCUAAGGUAGCGAAAUUCCUUGUCGGGUAAGUUCCGACCUGCACGAAUGGCGUAACGAUGGCCACACUGUCUCCUCCCGAGACUCAGCGAAGUUGAAGUGUUUGUGAUGAUGCAAUCUCCCCGCGGCUAGACGGAAAGACCCCAUGAACCUUUACUGUAGCUUUGCAUUGGACUUUGAACCGGUCUGUGUAGGAUAGGUGGGAGGCUUUGAAGCGUGGACGCCAGUCUGCGUGGAGCCGACCUUGAAAUACCACCCUGGUCUGUUUGAGGUUCUAACCUUGGUCCGUUAUCCGGACCGGGGACAGUGCAUGGUAGGCAGUUUGACUGGGGCGGUCUCCUCCCAAAGUGUAACGGAGGAGUACGAAGGUACGCUAGGUACGGUCGGAAAUCGUGCUGAUAGUGCAAUGGCAUAAGCGUGCUUAACUGCGAGACCGACAAGUCGAGCAGGUGCGAAAGCAGGUCAUAGUGAUCCGGUGGUUCUGUAUGGAAGGGCCAUCGCUCAACGGAUAAAAGGUACUCUGGGGAUAACAGGCUGAUACCGCCCAAGAGUUCAUAUCGACGGCGGUGUUUGGCACCUCGAUGUCGGCUCAUCUCAUCCUGGGGCUGUAGCCGGUCCCAAGGGUAUGGCUGUUCGCCAUUUAAAGAGGUACGUGAGCUGGGUUUAAAACGUCGUGAGACAGUUUGGUCCCUAUCUGCCGUGGGCGCUGGAUAUUUGAAGGGGGCUGCUCCUAGUACGAGAGGACCGGAGUGGACGAACCUCUGGUGUACCGGUUGUCACGCCAGUGGCAUCGCCGGGUAGCUAUGUUCGGAAGAGAUAACCGCUGAAAGCAUCUAAGCGGGAAACUCGCCUUAAGAUGAGAUAUCCCCGGGGCUUCGAGCCCCUUGAAGGGUCGUUCAAGACCAGGACGUUGAUAGGUCAGGUGUGGAAGCGCAGUAAUGCGUUAAGCUAACUGAUACUAAUUGCCCGUAAGGCUUGAUCC